CAACCUGCCCUGAAGCGGGGGACAACAACUCGAAAGAGUUGCUAAUACCGCAUGUGUAUCGGAAUGGCAUCAUUCAGGAUACAAAGCCGCAAGGCACUUCAGGAUGGGCCCGCGGCCUAUCAGCUAGUUGGUGAGGUAACGGCCCACCAAGGCUUCGACGGGUAGCUGGUCUGAGAGGGCGACCGGCCACACUGGGACUGAGACACGGCCCAG
rnacentral:rRNA from 1 species